UACGUAGGGGGCGAGCGUUGUCCGGAUUCAUUGGGCGUAAAGCGCGCGCAGGCGGCUGGGCAAGUCGGCCGUGAAAUCUCCGGGCUUAACUCGGAGGGGUCGGGCGAGACUGCACAGCUCGAGGCGGGUAGAGGGCAGUGGAAUUCCGGGUGUAGUGGUGGAAUGCGUAGAGCUCCGGAGGAACACCAGUGGCGAAGGCGGCUGCCUGGGCCCGGACUGACGCUGAGGCGCGAAAGCGUGGGGAGCGAGCCGG
rnacentral:rRNA from 1 species